UACGGGGGGAGCAAGCGUUGUUCGGAAUUACUGGGCGUAAAGGGCGCGUAGGCGGCCUGCUAAGUCGGACGUGAAAUCCCCAGGCUCAACUUGGGAACUGCAUCCGAUACUGGAUGGCUUGAAUUCGGGAGAGGGAUGCAGAAUUCCAGGUGUAGCGGUGAAAUGCGUAGAUAUCUGGAGGAAUACCGGUGGCGAAGGCGGCAUCCUGGACCGACAUUGACGCUGAGGAGCGAAAGCGUGGGGAGCGAACAGG
rnacentral:rRNA from 1 species